CAACGGUGCUGCCCUUCUCCAUCCGAUCCCUGCAGCGUUUCAACCCAUCAAAACUCGCCAAACUCAGGCGAGUUCACUCGCACACGACCUUAUCUCACCACGUCAUCAAGAUGCUAACGGUCUCUGAUAGAUUCUCUCAUUCUCACCUCUCUUCUCACGUGUUGGAAGCCUCUAGAAGGCAUAUGCUGGAUGAAUGGGGAGCGUGGGAUUGAUUUCAAUUGAUCCCAGCCCUUCAUUCAUCAGGUUUUUGCCUAAUAAGUAGAGGAAUUUUCAAAGAAGAAAGGGGUUCUGGAGACAGAUUUUCGGAGAGAAAUUUUUAGAGGUAAAGUUCUAGGGUUAGGUCGAGUUUCAAGAUUUUCCUUCUGAAUUUCUAGUCGAUUUUCUUGAAAAAUACAAAUCUCUUCAGUUUUUUUUUCUUUUAUUUCAAUAUCAGAAAAAAUAAAAAUAAAAAGUCUGUUUCUUCUGUUUCAAUUUCGAAAUUUUGGUUUUUAAAAUGGAGUUUGAUUGAGGCGUUUUGGGAGUUCAUCGUUUGUCGUUCGAGUUUCGCUGGUUCGAAUUCCUUUGACGAUUUGUUGUUGUUCUGGUUCAAAUUUUUUUCGCUGGAUUCGUGUACUUGCCGAUGUUUGCAUAGUGAAAGAAUUUUCUUUAACAGGUGAACUAUCUGGAGCUAGAAAUGGUGUUCAACGUGCAUUAGUGUAUACUAUUCUCAUCUCGUUUAGUUCAGAUUCACUCUAUAACUUUCUUCCUUAGACACGUGAUGUCUAUUUGAGAUUUAGAGACUGCUAUUCAAGUGUGGUUUCGAGGAACAUGAGCUACAUAUUGUUUUUUUUUCUUUCUGAGAAAAAAAAAUCUGUUCCCAUGAGAUUAUCUGUGUGAUUUGAGUUCUGAAGCUGCGAUUAAAACUUGUUGCCUUGAUCGUAAUCAUAUAUCUAACUUCCUGAAAUUAUGAAUGCGAGCUUGAAACACCAAGGCAUCUAUUCUGAUAGUCUAUUCAAGCAUGGUUGAAAAUGUGUAAGGGAUGAAUUUGUGCUGUAUUGAUGUGCGUUAGCGUGAAGGCAGCUGACUACUUUGUUAGCUUAUUUGUGUAUUUAUUUAUUUAUUUUGCUCUCU